rnacentral:lncRNA from 1 species
GGGCGUGGGAGGGAGCGGGGGUAAGCCGAGCCGUGAGUGGAGGUGGGCUAAAGGGGUGGUUGGCAGCCUGGUUAGGAAUAGUUGGUUUUCUCUUUUGUUUGAAUGGGGUUUGAAUCAAAUUUGAAAUAUAUUUCAAGUUUGGAUGGGAUUUGAAAUGUAGGAUUAGUUUGGACUGGAAAAUGGCGGGGGAAGGGGGGCUUUUGGGAGGGUUUGGAAUUUGUAUAUUUCUAGGGUUUGGAGGAUAGUUUUAUGGAGGUUUGAAUGGAAUUGAUAUUCAAAUUAAAUUUGAAUAUUAAUUCUAGGAUUUAGGAGGAGAAAGUAUUACGGAAAUAUUUUUCUAAGGUUUUUGAGAUUUAGAUUAAAUUUGAAAUGAUUUUGAAAGGGAAUCUGGCAUAAGGUUUCUAUAGGGGUUUGAUUGGGAUUUUAAUUAUUCAAAUUAGAUUUGAAUAUUGGUUUUAGGAGAAUAGAAUGGAGAUUAUUCCUAGAGUUUUGGAGUCUAGGUUUAGGAUACAUUUAUAUGGCAAUCAAAUGCAUCACACAUGCUGAAGAUUUAUUUGUAAAAAGACUUCGAAUAUUUGAGGAGAAGAAAAU